rnacentral:rRNA from 1 species
AUUGAACGCUGGCGGCAUGCCUUACACAUGCAAGUCGAACGGUAACAGGUCUUCGGAUGCUGACGAGUGGCGAACGGGUGAGUAAUACAUCGGAACGUGCCUAGUAGUGGGGGAUAACUACUCGAAAGAGUGGCUAAUACCGCAUGAGAUCUACGGAUGAAAGCAGGGGAUCGCAAGACCUUGUGCUACUAGAGCGGCCGAUGGCGGAUUAGGUAGUUGGUGGGAUAAAAGCUUACCAAGCCGACGAUCUGUAGCUGGUCUGAGAGGACGAUCAGCCACACUUGGACUGAGACACGGCCCAGACUCCUACGGGAGGCAGCAGUGGGGAAUUUUGGACAAUGGGCGCAAGCCUGAUCCAGCAAUGCCGCGUGCAGGAUGAAGGCCUUCGGGUUGUAAACUGCUUUUGUACGGAACGAAAAGCCCUGGGUUAAUACCCUGGGGUCAUGACGGUACCGUAAGAAUAAGCACCGGCUAACUACGUGCCAGCCGCCGCGGUAA